rnacentral:rRNA from 1 species
AUGGAUCAGGACCUGUCGUCGGAGCUGGACCCAGCGCUCCUCCUCUCCACGUCGGCGUCCUCGUCGUCGCCGCAGGACUCCGCGUCGCCGUCCUUCUCCUUCUACCCGCCCUCCCCUCCGGAGUACACCCUCGCCGUCACCAACCUCUCCUGCCCAGCGCCGCGCCGCGCCAACGCCACCCUCCUCCCGAGGUUCUUGCCCUCCUUCUCCGCGGCCCCGCCCCCCGCCGCCGAGGGGCUCCUCAACUCCGUCUCCUUCAUCGCGUCCAGCUCAAGCAUCCUGGCCGUCGUGGGCCCCAGCGGCGCCGGCAAGUCGACGCUCCUCCGCAUCCUGUCCGGCCGCGGCACCGGCUCGGAGAUCGCCAAGGCGCCCACCGUGUGCAUCAACGGCAACGCCGUCACCUCCCGCGCGCAGCUGCGCCGGACGUGCGGCUUCGUGACGCAGGACGACAACCUCCUGCCGCUGCUCACCGUCCGCGAGACCAUCCUCUUCGCCGCGCGCUUCAGGCUCGGCUCCUCCGUGACCGCGCGGGAGCGGCACGAGCGGGUGGAGGCGCUCAUGCAGGAGCUAAGGCUGUCGGAGGUGGCCGACAGCUACGUCGGCGGCGGCGGUGGCGAGGCCAUGUCGCCGUCCCGCGGGGUGUCCGGGGGCGAGCGCAAGCGGGUGUCCAUCGCGGUGGACAUGGUGCACGACCCGCCGGUGCUGCUGCUGGACGAGCCCACGUCGGGGCUGGACAGCCGGUCGGCCGUGGACGUGCUGGCGCUGCUGCACGAGGUGGCGCGCGCGCGGCGGCAGGUGGUGGUGCUCAGCAUCCACCAGCCCAGCUACCGCAUGCUCGGCUACAUCUCCUCGCUGCUGCUGCUCUCCCGCGGCGCCGUCGCGCACUGCGGCUCGCUGAGGUCGCUCGAGGACGCGCUGGCGAGGCUGGGCCACAAGAUCCCCGCGCAGCUCAACCCGCUGGAGCUGGCCAUGGAGGUCACCGAGCAGCUCCAGGCGGACCGCGCCAAGUUCGCCGAGCUCAGGGACAGCGACCAGUACGAGGAGGAAAGGGAAAGCCCCGGCGUCGCCAACGGCAGCCUUCAGGUGCCCGAGCACGGGUACGGCAGCCGCGCCGUGGAGGUGGCGGCGCUGACAGUGCGCUGCUGGCGCACCAUGUACCGCACGCAGCAGCUCUUCGCGGCGCGGGCGGCGCAGGCGGUGGUCGGCGGCCUGGGCCUCGGCAGCGUCUUCUUCCGCGUGCGCGCCGACCCGGACGGGCUGGCGCUCCGGCUGGGCCUCUUCGCCUUCAGCCUCAGCUUCCUCCUCUCCUCCACCGUGGAGGCGCUGCCCAUCCUCCUCCACGAGCGGCGCGUGCUGAUGCGCGAGGCCUCCCGCCGCGCCUACCGCCUGUCCUCCUACGUGGUGGCCAACGCGCUGGUGUUCGCGCCGUGCCUGCUCGCCGUGGCGGUCCUCUUCUCGGCGCCCGUGUACUGGCUGGUGGGCCUCCGCGCCUCCCUGGCCGCCUUCGGGUUCUUCGUGCUCGCCGUGUGGCUCAUCGUGCUCAUGGCCAGCUCCCUGGUGCUCUUCCUCAGCGCCGUGUCCCCGGACUUCAUCCUCGGCAACUCGCUCAUCUGCAUCUUCCUGGGCGUCUUCUUCCUCUUCUCUGGCUACUUCAUACCCAAGGAGAGCAUCCCGAGGUACUGGGCCUUCAUGUACUACGUGUCCAUGUACAGGUACCCGCUGGACCUGCUGCUCAUCAACGAGUACGGGGGCGGCGCCAGGGACAAGUGCGUGGCGUGGGUGGGAGGGGACGCCAUGAACGGUGACGGCGUUUGCUUGAGCACCGGAGGCGACGUGCUGAGGGGGAGAGGGGUCGACGAGGGCAUGAGGUGGGUCAAUGUGGGUGUCAUGCUGGGCUUCUUCCUCGUGUACAGGAUCAUGUGCUGGGCUGUGCUGGUGAGGAGGGCGUCCAAGACCACUCUCUGA